rnacentral:rRNA from 1 species
GACCCCGCACAAGCAGCGGAGCAUGUUCUUUAAUUCGAAGCAACGCGAAGAACCUUACCAGGGCUUGACAUCCCACUAACGAAGUAGAGAUACAUUAGGUGCCCUUCGGGGAAAGUGGAGACAGGUGGUGCAUGGUUGUCGUCAGCUCGUGUCGUGAGAUGUUGGGUUAAGUCCCGCAACGAGCGCAACCCUUACAUUUAGUUACCAGCGCGUAGAGGCGGGGACUCUAAAUGGACAGCCGGGGUAACCCGGAGGAAGGUGGGGACGACGUCAAAUCAUCAUGCUCCUUAUGUCCUGGGCUAGAAACGUGCUACAAUGGCCACAACAAAGGGCAGCAAGACCGCAAGGUGGAGCGAAACCCAUAAAAAGUGGUCUCAGUUCGGAUUGUGGGCUGCAACCCGCCCACAUGAAGUUGGAGUUGCUAGUAAUCGCGAGUCAGCAUAUCG